rnacentral:rRNA from 1 species
GUGGGGAAUCUUCCGCAAUGGACGAAAGUCUGACGGAGCAACGCCGCGUGAGUGAUGAAGGUCUUCGGAUUGUAAAGCUCUGUUAAUCGGGACGAAAGAGCCUAGUGUGAAUAAUGCUAGGAAGUGACGGUACCGGAAUAGAAAGCCACGGCUAACUACGUGCCAGCAGCCGCGGUAAUACGUAGGUGGCAAGCGUUGUCCGGAAUUAUUGGGCGUAAAGCGCGCGCAGGCGGAUCUGCCAGUCUGUCUUAAAAGUUCGGGGCUUAACCCCGUGAUGGGAUGGAAACUACAGAUCUAGAGUAUCGGAGAGGAAAGUGGAAUUCCUAGUGUAGCGGUGAAAUGCGUAGAUAUUAGGAAGAACACCAGUGGCGAAGGCGACUUUCUGGACGAAAACUGACGCUGAGGCGCGAAAGCCAGGGGAGCGAACGGGAUUAGAGACCCUAGUAGUCC